UACGGUCAAUUCAUUUCGGAAGAAAACGUACAGUGUAUCAUGACCAUCACAACUCCAAGAAUUAACAUAGCUCGUCCGCCGCUAAACCCCGGAUGAUAGAAUGGAAGGUGAGCCCACUAAUACCCCUGGCUCCGGUGGCCGGACGAUUGAAGAAUGCCAGGACAUGAUUCGUAAAAGUCUCCGAACUCCAAUGGUGAAAUUUUUAAGGGAGCAUUUAGAGAAAGCAGGGUGUGGAAUAGGUGACAACUUUAUUAAGGCUGUUAAUUGUGAAAAGAAGAUGAGUGGUGGUUAUGUUAGCGGCGAUGGGAUAGUGGUGUGUAGCAAUCAUAUGAACAUGCAAGAUGAGGUCAAUCAAGUGGUUAUACAUGAGCUUAUUCAUGCUUAUGAUGACUGUCGUGCUGCAAACUUGGACUGGGCUAAUUGUGUUCAUCAUGCAUGUAGUGAGAUUCGUGCUGGCCAUUUAAGUGGAGACUGCCAUUAUAAGAGGGAAUUGCUUCGAGGUUAUAUGAAAAUAAGAGGUCAUGAACAAGAAUGUGUGAGAAGAAGAGUGAUGAAGUCAAUGAUUGCUAAUCCAUACUGCUCAGAAGCAGCUGCAAAGGACGCAAUGGAAGCUGUCUGGGAUGUCUGUUACAAUGAUACAAAGCCCUUUGACAGAGCUCCUUGAAACAUGGUUAUGACUACCAGAUUUUUUCCUUACCUGAUAUUAUAGAAGACGCUGGCUUUCAAGCGUUUGCUUCUUGGAUGUGGUGGUAUAUAUUUUAUCUCCUUUGGGUUGGGGCUCAGGAAUAAGUAUUUAUUUUAUGAACUAGAUUUUGGGUUACAAAUGCAGGUUGCCCAAUAAAACUCUGGCAGUGUUGUUGGGAAACUCCAUUGUUUGUCAGUGCUGUGAUGUGGAAGAGCAUUGUUAGAUAAGUUUAUUCAUUUGUAGAAGAGAAGCUGAUUCUUAUUAUGGACAUUGCUUACAGAAGAAAAAGAAAUGACCAUGUAUUCUUUCUGUAGAACUGCAUUUUGCAAAAGUAGACAAUGGUUUUUUUUUUUUUUUUUUUAUGAUUGGUAGAACAUGAUCUUCAGUCAUCAACAAUGGAAAAUGGGGACAUCAAGAAUUCAUUUCAAGAUCAAGGACCACGUGAUGGCCGCCGGCAGCACUUUACUCUUUUUUCGAAAAAUCAAACACUUUAGAAGCUUGGAAAGAACAAAAAGAAAACCUGGCAUGUUACAGCACAUAACCUAUUAUAUUCUUCUUUAGAAACUUUCUGCAUUAGCUAGAUUCACCUAUGAUACCUCUUUUCACUGUUAAAACCAAUACUUUCCCCGCCGUUUUAGUGGUCCUCUUCCAGUUUAUAUUCACUUAAAUUAGCCGUGGUUUAGGACGUAUAGAUGUUGCGGAAACAUUUCAAAGCCAAGUAAAGAUGGAGGUAGCUGUGCUUGUGCGGCUGAAGAUGUUAUUUUGCCUCUUGUUAUUACUUGGUCAAUCUCGAUGUUUGCUGCAAGGCCACCUUCCUCAGUUUGCAGGUGGGACGGGAUCUUGGUACCAGCAAAGGGUCGAAAGAGGAGAGAAAAUGGCGGAGCUGACACCUUCAUGGCGGUCUGAGGAUUAUUCUGUACCGCAAAGGCGAAGACACGUGCACAAUAACUUGGAUCCUUGAGUGUUUUGUGUCUUCUGUUAGCUUAAAGUUUGUUUUGGGUUGUACUGUAAAUGGUUUCUUUUUUCUUUUUUCUAAGUAAGAUCAGAAGUGGAGUAAUGAAUGAAAAAUUCUAUGAACAUGAGCCACAAACCUUUUUUAAGAAACUUUUCAUUAGUAAAUCCUAAUCUUAUAUAGAUAUGUUUUAUGAUUCCA